rnacentral:sRNA from 1 species
AAAAAAACAUUCGAAAUAUAUUCCAAUCCCAUAUAUCACGCAGAUUUUUCCAAAAUUUGAAAUAGAUUUCGACAACUAUUUAAAACAAAAAAUGUUUGACAACCCAAAAGACAAUUGCAAUCCCUUAAAAUGAGCGAAACGCAACUAAAUAUAUUUCUUAUCUAUUCACUAAAUCUUAUGUCUCCAAAAUUUGAACUACAUUUCGACAACUAUUUAAAACAAAAUUUUGUUUGACAAACUAAAACACAAUUGCAAUCCCGUAAAAUAUUUAUUUUAAUUAUAAAUUUAAAUUAGCGGGGUACCGCGGUUUAUUUUUACAGGACGAGUUUGGUGGAACGGGUUUAGAAGGACGUUACUUAAUAACAAUUAUAAACUAUAAAAUAAAAAUAUUUUAUAGAUAGACAUAAUUUGUAAAAUUUUAUAUAUACUAAUUUAAAAAAAUAAAUUGUCUCCGCGGUGUACCGCGGGUUAAAAUCUAGUUCAUUCUUUACAAUUCCAAAGUUUAUAACCGCAAAAAUGCAUACAAAAUGUAC